GAACUGAAGAGUUUGAUCCUGGCUCAGAUUGAACGCUGGCGGCAUGCCUUACACAUGCAAGUCGAACGGCAGCACGGACUUCGGUCUGGUGGCGAGUGGCGAACGGGUGAGUAAUACAUCGGAACGUGUCCUGGAGUGGGGGAUAGCCCGGCGAAAGCCGGAUUAAUACCGCAUAC
rnacentral:rRNA from 2 species